CCUCUCCAGCCCCACUCCGUCGCCGAGUUUUCCCAUCUCCGCCGCCCUCUCCAGAUCCAGCCACCAACUCUGCCACCCAUCUCCACCAACAGUGUUUGACGUACAAGAACUGUCCAAGAGAAGCGAAAGCCACCGUUCGAGCCAUGGACCUCGCCACGGCGGCCUUGCGCUCCCUCCUCCCCAAGCUGGCCGAGCUCAUCCACGGAGAAUACAAGCUGCAGAAGGGCGUGAAGAAAGAUGUGCAAUUUCUAGAGAGGGAGAUGACGAGCAUAGACGCCGCCCUCCGCAAAGUGGCCAUGGUGCCGCAUGACAAGCUCGACGACAACUCCAAGAUCUGGGCCAAUCAAGUCAGGGAGCUGUCGUACGAGAUGGAGGAUGUCGUUGAAAGCUUCCUGGUGGGCGUCCAGGGCUUCGAGCCCGCCGCUAACCCUGACGGCUUCAAAGGGUUCGUGAAGAAGGUGGCUAACCUGUUCACGAAAGGCAAGGCGCGCCACCAGAUCGCCAAUGCAAUCAAAAGCAUCAAGGACCAGGUCCAGGAGGUGGCGGAUCGACGUGACAGGUACAAGAUUGAUGAUCUUCAGGCAAGUCUAGCUGCUACAACCAUGGUUGAUCCUCGUCUGAUGGCUCAGUUCAAAGAUCACAAAGAGCUUGUUGGCAUCGAGGGGCCAAGAGAUGAGCUAAUCAAGAGGCUGGUAGAUGAAGAUGAUUGUGAGUCCAAGCAGCAGCUGAAGAUACUCUCGAUCUUCGGAUUUGGAGGAGUUGGCAAGACAACUCUUGCCAGAGCAGUUUACGACAAGAUACAAGCACAAUUCGUAUGCAAGGCUUUUUUUUCGGUGGGUCAAAAUCCCAACCUGAAGAAUGUUCUCAUAGGUAUUCUCCUCCGACUUGACAAAGACACUUGUUCCAAUCCGACAAUGUUAGAUGAUGUGCUGCUCAUUGAAAAACUCCGAGGGCUGCUUGGGAACAAGAGGUACCUCAUCAUCAUUGAUGAUAUAUGGGAUAUGAGUUCAUGGGAUAUAAUCAAAUGUGCUUUUAUUGAUAGCAAGUGUGAAAGCAGGGUAAUCAUAACUACUCGUAUCUUUGAAGUGGCGAAAGAGGCAAGUGAUAUUUACAAGCAAGAACCUCUUUCUCCUGGUAGAUCGAAGGAAUUGUUCUGUAUGAGAUUAUCUAUUGGCAAAAGCAAAAGCCCUUAUCAUGAAUCGGUUAAGAUAUCUGAGAAGAUAUUGCAGAAAUGUGGUGGUAUACCGCUAGCUAUCAUUACAAUAGCUAGCUUGUUGGCUAGUAAACCAGUAACAGAUUGGCCUGGGGUCUAUGACUCUAUUGGUUUUGGGAAUGAAGAUAACAAAGAAGUGGAUACCACAAGAAAGAUAUUGCUAUAUAGCUACUAUGAUCUUCCAUAUUAUCCACGGCUUUGCCUAUUGCACCUAGGUAUAUACCCCGAAGAUUUUGAGAUCAGAAAAGACAAUUUAAUUUGGAAGUGGGUGGCUGAAGGAUAUGUGCAUGAGGAACCAGGAAAAGGAUUAUUUGAGGUUGGAGAGAGAUACUUCAACUUGCUCAUAGAUAGAAGUAUGAUCCAGGCAGUAGAGAAGCCAUAUUACAGCAUAAUAUAUGCUUGUCAUGUGCAUGAUUUGGUGCUUGAUAUGAUUCAUUUUCUAUCAGAAGACGAAGGUUUUGUUACUGCAUCGAACAGUAACAGGACAUCUCUGUGCAUCACUGCUCGUAGGUUAGCCAUAAAUAGUGAAGCCAUAGAGCAGAAUGGAUAUGUGGCUAACUCGAGCAUGCAGCAAGUGAGGUCAUAUAAUGCCACCAUGUGUCAAUUUAGUAUGUUGCCAUUGCUUUCAAACUUUAAAGCUCUGCGUGUGUUGGCUUUAGAAGAGUGCACUUUCAUGGGAAGUGAGCAAUUCUCUAUGAAGCCCGAAGAUUCUCCUUAUCAUCUCAAGCAUCUUGAGAGGCUGAUUCACCUGAGGUACCUUGGAAUAUCGGACCAGCUUGAGAGCUUAGAGGUCCCUGAAGAAAUUGGGGACCUAAGGUUUUUGCAGGUACUGGACUUGGGCAGAAGUGGCAUAAAAAAACUGCCUCAAAGUGUUGGUCGGCUAACACAAUUGAAGUGCCUGCACUUUGGCGGUUCUAGCAUGGGGGUGUUGGACUGGACGAAUCUAACAUCUCUGGAAGCGCUACAGUUGCACCAUGUCUCUCCAGACUUUCUGAAAGAGCUGGGCAAGCUGAAGGAGCUGAGAGAGUUGAACCUAUACUUUGAAGAGGACGAUAAUAUGUUGUUCAAAGAUUUGGUGGGACGUGUUGCCAAUCUGCAAAAACUUCAAGUCAUAAGGGUUACUUGUUGGUAUCAAGAGGAUCCUGAGCUGUGGUCUGAUUACGCUGGCCCUGUGGCCCUUGGGCACCUGCGUCAUCUAACACUGCAUGCCCUGCUUCCUGUGCUGCCAGUGUGGAUUAACUCCUCAUGCCUCCCGAACCUCUGCCACUUGGAUAUGAACCUGAUAGCUAUGGAGUCGCAGGAUAUGGAGAUCCUCGGGUGGUUCUCAGAGCUCAUUACUCUAUGCAUUCAUUGCGAUGAUGGCGUUGUUUUUCCUGACACCAUGGAGGAGGGUGCAUUUCCCAAGUUGAGAUACUUGAAUCUGGAAAAUUCUGACCAACCCAGAUUUGUACGGGGAGCAAUGUCCAGCCUUGAGUAUAUUGAGUUCAUUGGCCUGGUACCGACCUAUGGCUUGGACUUUCAUAGCCUGGUGAACCUCCCUCGUCUUGAGAAAGUUGAUGUUGAAAUCGAUGGCAAAACUGCCAUGGGUAUCGACGUGCUGCAGGCACAUGCGUCGUUGAAGCAAGCGGUUGAGAUCCAUCCCAACCAUCCCGCACUCAAUGUACGUACUGACAUCAUUCGAGCCAUGGACCUUGCGACGGUGGCCAUGGGCUCCCUCCUCCCCAAGUUAUUCGAGCUCCUCCACGGAGAAUACAAGCUGCAAAUGGGCGUGAAGAAAGAUGUAGAAUUUCUCGAGAGGGAGAUGAGGAGCAUAGACGCCGCACUCCGCAAAGUGGCCAUGGUGCCGCGUGACAAGCUCGAUGACAACUCCAAGAUCUGGGCCGGUGAUGUUAGGGAGCUGGCAUACGAGAUGGAGGAUGUCGUUGAACGCUUCAUGGUGGGCGUCCACGGCUUUGAACCAGCUGCUAACCAAGACAGCUUCAAAGGGUUCGUGAAGAAGGUGUCCAACUUGUUCACAGAAGGCAAGACCCGACACCAGAUCGCUAAUGCGAUCAAGGCCAUCAAGGAUCAGAUUCAGGAGGUGACGGAUCAGCGUGACUGGUACAAGAUUGAUGAUGUUGAGGCAAGUCUAGCUGCUACAACCAUUGUUGACCCUCGGCUGAUGGCUCAGUUCAAAGAUCAGAGAGAGCUUGUUGGCAUCGAGGAGCCAAGGGACGAGCUAAUCAAGAGACUGGCAAAUGGAGAUGACUUUGUGUCCAAGCAGCAGCUCAAGAUACUCUCAAUUUUUGGAUCUGGAGGACUUGGCAAGACAACUCUUGCCAAAGCAGUUUAUAAUAAGUUGCAAACGGAAUUUGAAUGCAAGGCUUUUUAUUUGGUGGGUCAAAAUCCUAACCUGGAGAAUGUUCUCAUGGGUAUUUUCAGCCAAGUCGACAAAGCCUCUUGUUCCAAUGCAACAAUCUUGGAUGUGCGCCUUCUUAUUAUUAAACUCCGAGAGCUGCUUGUGAACAAGAGGUACCUCAUCGUCAUUGAUGAUAUAUGGGAUAUGGGUUUAUGGGAUCUAAUCAAAUGUGCUUUCAUUGAUAGUAAAUGCGGAAGUAGAGUAAUCACAACUACUCGUAUUUAUGAAGUGGCAAAAGCGGCACGUGACAUUUACUGCUUAGAAGCCCUUUCUCCUGGUAAAUCAAAGGAAUUGUUCAGUUUGAGAUUAUCUGUUGGUAAAAGCAAAAACCCUUGUGAUCCACCGGUUAAGAUAUCUGAAAAGAUAUUGCAGAAAUGUGGUGGGAUACCGCUAGCUAUCAUUACAAUAGCUAGCUUAUUGGCUAGUAAACCAGUAACAGAUUGGUCAGAGGUGUAUGACUCCAUUGGUUUUGGGAAUGAAGAUAACCAAGAAGUGUAUAACACAAGAAAGAUAUUGCUACAUAGCUACUAUGAUCUUCCAUAUUAUCCACGGAUAUGCUUAUUACACUUAAGCAUAUACCCUGAAUAUUAUGAGAUAGAUAAAGACAUUUUAAUAUGGAAGUGGGUAGCCGAAGGAUAUGUCCCUGAGGAACCAGGAAAAGGGCUAUUUGAGGUUGGAGAGAGAUACUUCAACAUGCUCAUAGAUAGAAGUAUGAUCCAGGCAGUAGAGUAUCCAUAUCAUAGCAUCAUAUAUGCUUGCCGUGUGCAUGAUUUGGUCCUUGAUAUGAUCCAUUUUGUGUCAAAGGAAGAAAGUGCUGUUACUUUCGUGAAGAGUAAUAGGAAACUCACAUCUUCGCAUAGCACCACUCGUAGGUUAGCCAUACAAAAUGAGCAGGAUGGAUCUGUGGCUAACAUGAGCAUGCAUCAAGUGAGGUCAUAUAAUGCCACCAUGUGUCAUUUCAGCAUGUUGCCAUUGCUUUCAAACUUUAAAGCUCUACGUGUGUUGGCUUUAGAAGAGUGCACUUUCAUGGGAAGUGAGCAAUUCUCUAUGAAGCCCGAAGAUUCUCCUUAUCAUCUCAAGCAUCUUGAGAGGCUGAUUCACCUGAGGUACCUUGGAAUAUCGGACCAGCUUGAGAGCUUAGAGGUCCCUGAAGAAAUUGGGGACCUAAGGUUUUUGCAGGUACUGGACUUGGGCAGAAGUGGCAUAAAAAAACUGCCUCAAAGUGUUGGUCGGCUAACACAACUAAAGUGCCUGCGCUUUCCUGGUUCUAGCAUGGAGGUGUUGGACUGCACGAAUCUAACAUCCCUGGAAGAGCUAAAAUUGCACACUGUCUCUACAGACUUUCUGAAGGGGCUGGGCAAGCUGAAGGAGAUGAGAGUGUUCGAAGUACUCUUUGAGGACCAUGAUAAUAUGUUGUUCAAAGAUUUGAUGGGAAAUCUUGCCAAUCUGCAAAAACUUCAAGUCAUAAUGGUUGAUUGUUGGAGUCGAGAUUGUAAGCAGUGGUCUGGUUACGCGGGCUCUGUGGCCCUUGGCCACCUCCGUCAUCUGACAGUGCAUGGCCUGCUUCCUGGGCUGCCAGUGUGGAUUAACACCUCAUGCCUCCCGAACCUCUGCCACUUGAAUAUGAAAUUGAAGGCUAUGGAACCGCAGGAUAUGGAGAUCCUCGGGAGGUUCUCAGAGCUCAUUACACUACGCAUUCGUUGCAAGGAUGGCGUUGUUUUUCCUGACACCAUGGAGGAGGGUGCAUUCCCCAAGUUGAGAUACCUGGAACUGGAAAAUUCUAACCAACCCAGAUUUGUACGGGGAGCAAUGUCCAGCCUUGAGUGUUUUGAGUUCAUCGGCCUGGUAGGGACCAAUGGCUUGGACUUUCAUAGCCUGAUGAACCUCCCUCGUCUCGAGAAAGUUGACGCUGAAAUCGAAGGAAAAACUGGCAUGGAUACCGACGUGCAGCAGGCACGUGCAUCGUUGAAGCAUGCAGUUGAGAUCCAUCCCAACCAUCCAACACUCAAUAUUCGCGGUAGGCAAAUGGAUGAUUGAGCAUGCAGUUGAGAUUCAUCCCAACCGUCUCGCACUCAAUGUACCAUUAUCUUGAUAUGAUGGCCAAGUUCUCUUCCAAUAUUACCGUUCCAUAGCCAAGAUCGAUCAAAGUCCAUGGAGAAAACAAAUAAAAAAACUAGGGCAAAAUAAAUUGUACUAGUCAAACAGGUUAGAGAGAACAUAUACAAGAGAGAGAAGAUCUGGCAACGUAAUAUAAUUACCACAAUUUUUGGGCUAUAGUUGUUGUCAUUGUGGAUCUGCAGCGGCCGAAGCGUCGAGCGACACGAAUAGAGGAGAGUCAAGCAGGAGAGAUGUGAAUCUUUCCCUUAUUUUUUUUAAUUUAAUAAUAAAGCAGCUAAUGCUUCUGGUCGUCCGUUAUUAGUACUUUUGCAUAAAAGCUCCUGAAGUUCGUAUGAAUCAACCCGCAGUCCUGACGAGGUCAACCCGAAGAGGAUAGAAAAAAAAACUCCAAAUCGCAUCACCGUCUCCAGCGUGCCGCUACCCCCUGCCGCGAGCCGACGCCCUCAGCCCCGCCGCAGCGCGCCGCCACUGCCUACCCCGUCGGGACUCCUACCCCUACCCCAACUGCCCCCCACGCCUGCGGCGUUCUACCGUCGGCGACACUCGACGCCGCGGCCGUUGCCGGCUCCCACACCCGCGGGCCUCCGUCUCCCCUGCCGCCGCCGCCGCCCCGCUUGUCUAGCGGGCCGGCCCCGUCCAUGGGGCGCAGGGGCUACCAGCACCCUCCCACGCCCGUGCGCGCCUCCUUCUGCCCUUCCGCCACGGACGGCGCCGCGUCCUGCAGUUUCCACGGAUACGUCCUCCACCCUGACCGACUUCUCUGAGCCUAAUGCGAUCCCGGUGGUGGCCGCGCCCUGCUCGGCCCGCCGUCCUGCCGUGGCGGGCGCCUGUCGUCGGAGCUCUGGUCGUUGGUUCCAGAGUCAGGCGGUUUCACACGGGGGGCGCCUAUCCCGCUGUGCCACCGAUCACUUAAUUCGGCUCUCUCGACUGGUGCAUAAUAUGCUUAAUUAUGUUGUGAUUUUUCUGUACCAAUGAAUGAUCCGGAUUCUGAAAAGGAGAAGAAAGCCUCAGGGGCAGAGUAUUCAGGAGGACACCAAUCCAAAUCUAUGGUGUUUGAGGCAGCUUGAAAGAAGGUUUGCUGCAGGGAAGAGAUAGAAAGAGCGAAAUAGAGAGGGCAGGGGCGUGAUCUGUUGUGAUUGGAUCAGCGAACCUUCUCUGUAGUUUAGGAUUUGAUCAGUUCGAGGAACGUGGUAUGUCCCUAGCAAAAUUCUUUCACCUUAUUAAUCUUCUGCGUUCUUUAGCAGUGCGCUGGUCCAUGCAGUAUCAUCAGAGUCAUGGAUCUUUGACAGAAUGUAACGCAUGGGCAGUAUAGUAUUCUCUCAUGUUAUGUGAACCCUCAGAUACCUUUUCAUGAGACUGAACCCAACUGUUCCCGAAUUUCUUAUGUGUUUGUGUAUACGAUGGUACA